rnacentral:rRNA from 1 species
UACGGGGGGGGCAAGCGUUGUUCGGAAUUACUGGGCGUAAAGGGCGCGUAGGCGGCCUUCUAAGUCGGAUGUGAAAUCCCCGGGCUCAACCCGGGAACUGCGUCCGAGACUGGAAGGCUUGAAUCCGGGAGAGGGAUGUGGAAUUCCAGGUGUAGCGGUGAAAUGCGUAGAUAUCUGGAGGAACACCGGUGGCGAAGGCGGCAUCCUGGACCGAUAUUGACGCUGAGGCGCGAAAGCCUGGGGAGCAAACGGG